AACUUUCAGCAAUGGAUCUCUUGGUUCUCGCAUCGAUGAAAAACGUAGCAAACUGCGAUAAGUAGUGUGAAUUGCAUUCAGUGAAUCAUCGAAUCUUUGAACGCACCUUGCACUCACUGGUAUUCCGGUGAGUACCCCUGUUUCA
rnacentral:rRNA from 1 species